AAACUCUGCAAUGCCGGCAACGGCGACAGGGGAACACCCAGUGGUUGCACUUUGUGCAACCUGUUUUCAUGCCUAAAAAGCAUGGAGAGUAAGGGCUGGGUAAGACGGGUGCCAGCCGCCGCGGUAAUACCCGCAGCCCGAGUGAUGCUCGUUAUUAUUGGGUCUAAAGCGUCCGUAACCGGCCUCCUAAAUGCCUGAGGAAAUCGUACGGCUCAACCGCACGAAGGCUCGGGUAGACUGGGAGGCUUGAGACCGGGAGAGGCCAGAGGUACUCCGGGGGUAGAGGUGAAAUUCUGUAAUCCUCGGGGGACCACCGGUGGCGAAGGCGUCUGGCUAGAACGGAUCUGACGGCGAGGGACGAAGGCUAGGGGCGCAAACGGGAUUAGAUACCCCGGUAGUCCUAGCUGUAAACGCUGCGGACUUGGUGUCGGGGGUCCUACGGGGGCUCCCGGUGCCGGAGCGAAGGUGUUAAGUCCGCCACCUGGGGAGUACGGCCGCAAGGUUGAAACUUAA
rnacentral:rRNA from 1 species